CUCAGCGGAGGCGGUCGCAUUUUCUUCCUCUCCUCCCUGCCUUCCCUGCUUUGCUUGGUUUCUCUUGUCUCGUCUACUUUGAGAGACUCUCUCUGCACUGCUCUCCUAAACUCGAACAUGGAUUUGAUUAAUUGGUCUCUCAACGCAAUUGACACCAUCUUCUCGACGAGGAGCUUGGGUUCGGGGGAACCUGACUGCCCUGCCGGAACAUUCGCAGCUGACUACACGAUGGACGCGUGGGCGAAUUGGCGGGUCGUGUGUCUGGCGGCUCUUUCCGUGGAGGACAUUGAAGACAUCUACCUAUUCGGAACCAUGAUAACAGGUAUUCUGCUGAUUGGAUUAGGCUUUGCCCUGGGUUAUCGGAAAAUUCAGAAGACGGGAACAGCUGUCCAAAGCCUCACAAGGCUGCCCGUCAUAAUUGAAGCAGUGGGCAGAGUGGUCAGCAUUGAGACUGAGACUAUUAACCGCAAUAUGGAUAACAUCACGAAGAAGCUCACGGCUUUGGAAAGGAAAUUGGAGAAUUUGGAGACCAAAAUGGACAAUGAACAAUCAUAGUGACCGUAAAAUGGAAUGCGGCUACUAGACCAAACAACUGGUAUCAUAUCUUCUUUCGGCUUUCUCUACCAGCCUUGGCCUUGGCUGGAUAACAAAUAUCUCCCGGGACCUGACCAAGGCUGUCUCCAUGGCAACUUGCUGUGACGCUGUAUAAUCUGCGGACUGAGGCAUCUAGAGAGAAUCGCAACUCUCCAGGCCUACACAUACACUAACUCUUACACAUAUACAGAUAUGCAUUCACCCCCCCAACCCCCAUCCCUCGCCUUCGCCGCUUUGUUCCACCAGUCUGGCGAGCGGGUCUGUGACCAGCGCUGUAAUGGCUGCAGGACCGGAUGCUGAUUGCCUGGGCUGGAUCACCUCGACCCCCAACUUCCGUCCCCAGUUGCAAAGUCGUGUUUUUAUGGUGUAUUGAUUAUGUGCUUUUGUGCUGAGGUAUUUUUCCUGUCCUCAAACGGUGCUCCCAAAGGAGCACAGUCUGGGUGUUGGUUUUUUCCUCCUCUCUUUCCUAAUGUUUUUUGCUGUUAUCUCUUCCCCUGUCUACUGUAUUUCGUUGCCUUGUGCCCACAUGUGCAAUGACAAUAAAGUUGAAUCUAAUCUAAUCUAAUCUA
ensembl:lncRNA